rnacentral:rRNA from 1 species
AACGAACGCUGGCGGCAGGCUUAACACAUGCAAGUCGAACGCAUCCUUCGGGGUGAGUGGCAGACGGGUGAGUAACGCGUGGGAACGUGCCCUUCAGUUCGGGAUAACCCAGGGAAACUUGGGCUAAUACCGGAUACGUGCGAGAGCAGAAAGAUUUAUCGCUGAAGGACCGUCCCGCGUCUGAUUAGCUAGUUGGUGGGGUAAUGGCCCACCAAGGCGACGAUCAGUCGCUGGUCUGAGAGGAUGAUCAGCCACAUUGGGACUGAGAAACGGACCAAACUGCAUCGGGCGGUGGCAGUGCGGAAUGUGGGACGAUGUCCGCAGGCCGGAUCCAGCGUUGACACGUGAGUGAUGACGGCGUUAGGGUUGUAAAGCUCUGUCGUCCUGGGCCAUAAUGACGGUACCGGAAGCACAAGCCCCGGCUAACUUCGUUCCAGCCGCCGCAGUAA